GACGAACGCUGGCGGCGUGCCUAAUACCUGCAAGUUGAACGCAGUUCCGAACGGGUUAGUAACGCGUAGGUAACUGCCUCAUAGCGGGGGAUAACUAUCGGAUACGAUACUUAAUACCGCACUCUGUCAGCUGGACCUGCGUUGUAUUAGCUAGUUGGUGAGGUAAAGGCUCACCAAGGCGACGAUACAUAGCCGACCUGAGAGGGUGAUCGGCCGCACUGUGACUGGGACACGGCCGAGACUCCGUCGGGAGGCAGCAGUAGGGGAACUUCGAAGAUGGACGGAAGUCUGACCGAGCAACGCCGCGGGAGUGAAGAAGGUUUUCGGAUCGUAUAGCUCUGUUGUUAGAGAAGCGGUAACUAACCAGAAAGGGACGGGUGACGACGUGCCAGCAGCCGCGGUAAUAC
rnacentral:rRNA from 1 species